CAGUAGCCACGGUAAUACGAAGGGUGCAAGCGUUAAUCGGAAUUACUGGGCGUAAAGCGUGCGUAGGCGGUUUGUUAAGUCUGCUGUGAAAUCCCCGGGCUCAACCUGGGAAUGGCAGUGGAUACUGGCAAGCUAGAGUGUGUCAGAGGAUGGUGGAAUUCCCGGUGUAGCGGUGAAAUGCGUAGAGAUCGGGAGGAACAUCAGUGGCGAAGGCGGCCAUCUGGGACAACACUGACGCUGAGGCACGAAAGCGUGGGGAGCAAACAGGAUUAGAGACCCCCGUAGUCCCUGUCUCUUAUAC
rnacentral:rRNA from 1 species